rnacentral:rRNA from 1 species
AUACGUAGGAUCCGAGCGUUGUCCGAAUUUACUGGGCGUAAAGGGCGCGUAGGCGGCCCGCUAAGUCUCAUGUGAAAUCUCCCGGCUCAACUGGGAGGGGUCAUGGGAUACUGGCAGGCUUGAGGGCAGCAGAGGGAAGCGGAAUUCCCGGAGUAGUGGUGAAAUGCGUAGAUACCGGGAGGAACACCAGUGGCGAAAGCGGCUUCCUGGACUGUACCUGACGCUGAGGCGCGAAAGCGUGGGGAGCAAACCGGAUUAGAAACCCGAGUAGUCC